rnacentral:rRNA from 1 species
UAGGCUGCAACUCGCCUACACGAAGUCGGAAUCGCUAGUAAUCGCGGAUCAGCACGCCGCGGUGAAUACGUUCCCGGGCCUUGUACACACCGCCCGUCACACCAUGGGAGUUUGUAACGCCCAAAGUCGGUGGCCUAACCUUUAUGGAGGGAGCCGCCUAAGGCGGGACAGAUGACUGGGGUGAAGUCGUAACAAGGUAAC